rnacentral:rRNA from 1 species
GACGAACGCUGGCGGCGUGCCUAACACAUGCAAGUCGAACGGAACUGUUUUGAAAGAUCUCUUCUGAAUGAAUUUGCUGUAGUUUAGUGGCGAACGGGUGAGUAACGCGUGAGUAAUCUGCCUUCAAGAGGGGAAUAACAUUCUGAAAAGAAUGCUAAUACAACAUGACAUAUCGGAACCACAUGGUUUUUAUGUCAAAGAUUUUAUCGCUUGAAGAUGGACUCGCGUCCGGUUAGUUAGUUGGUGAGUUAACAGCUCACCAAGACCGCGAUCGGUAGCCGGACUACGAGGUCGAGCGGCCACAUUGGGAGUGAGGCACGGGCCGGAAACCUUCGGGAAGGAGCAGUGGGGGAUAUUACGCAAGGGGGGCAAGCCUGGCGCGGCAACGGCGCGUGAAGGAUGAUGGUUUUCGGAUUGUAAACUUCUUUUAUUAAGGACGAAAAAUGACGGUACUUAAUGAAUAAGCUCCGGCUAACUACGUG